UACGUAGGGUGCAAGCGUUAAUCGGAAUUACUGGGCGUAAAGCGUGCGCAGGCGGUUUUGUAAGUCAGGUGUGAAAUCCCCGGGCUUAACCUGGGAACUGCAUUUGUGACUGCAUAGCUAGAGUACGGUAGAGGGGGAUGGAAUUCCGCGUGUAGCAGUGAAAUGCGUAGAUAUGCGGAGGAACACCGAUGGCGAAGGCAAUCCCCUGGACCUGUACUGACGCUCAUGCACGAAAGCGUGGGGAGCAAACAGG
rnacentral:rRNA from 1 species